rfam:Triticum aestivum genome assembly, contig: Triticum_aestivum_CS42_TGACv1_scaffold_472200_6AL
CGUAUACUCCCUCCGUUCCGAAUUACUUGUCUUGGAUUUGUCUAGAUACGGAUGUAUCUAGACUCAUUUUAGUGCUAGAUACCUCCAUAUCUAGAUAAAUCCAAGACAAGUAAUUCGGAGAAGAGGAAGUAUUAG